rnacentral:rRNA from 1 species
UACGGAGGGGGCUAGCGUUGUUCGGAAUUACUGGGCGUAAAGCGCACGUAGGCGGCUUUGUAAGUUAGAGGUGAAAGCCCGGGGCUCAACUCCGGAAUUGCCUUUAAGACUGCAUCGCUCGAAUUGUGGAGAGGUAAGUGGAAUUCCGAGUGUAGAGGUGAAAUUCGUAGAUAUCGGGAGGAACACCGGUGGCGAAGGCGGCGACCUGGGUAGAUACUGACGCUGAGGUGCGAAAGCGUGGGGAGCAAACAGG